rnacentral:tRNA from 1 species
GGUAGGGUACAGCUCAGUGGUAAGAGUGUGUGCUUAGCAUGUACACCACCCUGGGUUCAAACUCCAGCCCCUCCA